AUUGAACGCUGGCGGCAUGCCUUACACAUGCAAGUCGAACGGUAACGCGGGGCAACCUGGCGACGAGUGGCGAACGGGUGAGUAAUGCAUCGGAACGUGCCCAGUAGUGGGGGAUAGCCCGGCGAAAGCCGGAUUAAUACCGCAUACGACCUACGGGUGAAAGGGGGGGAUCGCAAGACCUCUCGCUAUUGGAGCGGCCGAUGUCAGAUUAGGUAGUUGGUGGGGUAAAAGCCUACCAAGCCGACGAUCUGUAGCUGGUCUGAGAGGACGACCAGCCACACUGGGACUGAGACACGGCCCAGACUCCUACGGGAGGCAGCAGUGGGAAUUUUGGACAAUGGGCGCAAGCCUGAUCCAGCCAUGCCGCGUGCGGGAAGAAGGGCCUUCGGUUGUAACCGCUUUGUCAGGAGAAAGUCGGCGGGUGAAGUAAUCCUGCCUGGAUGACGGUACUGUCAGAAGAAGCACCGGCUAACUACGUGCCAGCAGCCGCGGUAA
rnacentral:rRNA from 1 species